UGGGGUUGUGCAUAAAUGCAGUGAGAUUAUGGAUAUUUUAUAUCAUGUAUCUACCACCAUUCCUGGAAAACAGCACGUGACCAAAAGUGCUCAUUUUCUUUUUCUUCCACAGAUUGAACAACUGAGGCUUGGUGGAGUUACAUCACUUGCCCAAAGAGAUAAUGCCAGUGAAUGGAAUAGCCGGAUCUAAUUCUCGAAUCCGUAAAGCUCCACUGCUUCUCUCUGAAUGUAGUAACCCAUCCACAACCCUAAGAUAUUAGACACAUCAGUGAUCACUCCAUCUGUUUUUGGCCCAUUGCUGCUGUCAGGAUUUAUGCAUUUAUGUCUGCAAUAAUUAUUUAUUAAGGACCUUCUCUCUUGCAGUUGCAUAUGGCCUUAUAACUGAAUUCUGACUUUGUGUCUCUCUUGGGAGAGACAGAUAAUCAUUUUUCAUAUGUGAUCUUCUUUCUGUCCCACCUCUCAUCUAUGAGCCUGAAACAGCAGAUUCAGUAGAACAGUCAGAGUUUCUCAGGAAUGGCAGAGCCACAACUUGGGAGGAGCCCAGAUCUGUCCAACAAUCUGGAACAUCCAUCAACCAGGAACACUGUUACACCUUAUGUGACUAAGAAACAUAUUUUAAGGAAAAAGCACUAAAAUUUUGGGUUAUACUUGUUGCAAUAAGUGUGUUACUUACCUAACGCACAAUCACAAGUGUAAAAUGCACACACACAGAGUGUGAGGAAAUAUAUUGUUAUUGGACUACUUGUAGUCUAUUUAAUUUUUUUAUAUAGCUAUAGUCAGAUCCAGGGUGAAAUGAUUUAGAAUAAUAAUUUCCAAUAGUAUAUGCAUCAUACCUUUAAAAAGACUUUUAUGGAUGGAUAAAUAUCUAAUUAUGGCACUGCACUGCAACAUAAGUCAUGAGAGAAACUCUUUACAUACGCUUUGGUUUUUUUCUGAAUGCAUAGGCUCAGAAUUACUAAACAAACCCUCAUCUUUUGAUAGCCAAUAAUCAAUCUCUUGUUUUCAGGGAAUAGAAUUGUAUUAGAGGGGACAUUGGGGAAGUUAUAUACUACCUUAGCUUUCUGCUAUAAAAAAUAAAACUACUAGUCUGUAUUAAAUUUGAUUUUAUAUGUUCAAUGAAAUAUAUCCUUAUAAUAAAGUUAUAUAAAUGUAAGUUGCAAUGACUAUCUUUUUUUUUUUUUUUUUUUUUUUUUUGAGGUGAGUCUUCACUCUGUCGCCCAGGCUGG
rnacentral:lncRNA from 1 species